rnacentral:rRNA from 1 species
CGCCAGACUCCUACGGGAGGCAGCAGUGGGGAAUAUUGCACAAUGGGGGGAACCCUGAUGCAGCGACGCCGCGUGAGUGAAGAAGUAUUUCGGUAUGUAAAGCUCUAUCAGCAGGGAAGAAAAUGACGGUACCUGACUAAGAAGCCCCGGCUAACUACGUGCCAGCAGCCGCGGUAAUACGUAGGGGGCAAGCGUUAUCCGGAUUUACUGGGUGUAAAGGGAGCGUAGACGGCAUGGCAAGUCAGAUGUGAAAGCCCGGGGCUCAACCCCGGGACUGCAUUUGAAACUGUCAGGCUGGGGUGCAGGAGAGGUAAGUGGAAUUCCUAGUGUAGCGGUGAAGUGCGUAGAUAUUAGGAGGAACACCAGUGGCGAAGGCGGCUUACUGGACUGUAACUGACGUUGAGGCUCGAAAGCGUGGGGAGCAAACAGGAUUAGAUACCCGCGUAAA